AUACGAGAGGCCCGAGCGUUAGGCGGAAUCACUGGGCUUAAAGCGUGCGUAGGCGGAUGCGCAAGCGUCUUGUGAAAGCCCUCAGCUCAACUGAGGAAUUGCGGGGCGAACUGCGUGUCUUGAGGUAGGUAGAGGUCGUCGGAACGUUAGGUGGAGCGGUGAAAUGCGUUGAUAUCUAACGGAACACCGAAGGGGUAGCCAGGCGACUGGGCCUAUCCUGACGCUGAGGCACGAAAGCGUGGGGAUCAAACAGGAUUAGAUACCCUGGUAGUCCACGCCGUAAACGAUGUGCACUAGAUCGCUGACGGUCUGACCCGUUGUCGGUCGUAGAGAAAUCAUUAAGUGCACCGCCUGGGGAGUACGGUCGCAAGGCUAAACUCAAAGGAAUUGACGGGGCUCACACAAGCGGUGGAGC
rnacentral:rRNA from 1 species